CUCUUCAUCAUGCAGCCAAACCAAAACACCUAGAUACUUGCCUCCAGUCCCAGCUAGUUAUCGUUCUAAUUAGAUCACCUGGUAGAUAUCAUAGGGGCGGUGAGGGGUGUGCCGCCCCGCUAGUUUCCCUGGUAACCAACAAGAAGACCGGAAGUCAGUUCCCCCAGGAACUGGUAACCUCCCCCUCUCCCAUCACGAAGGCUGCCGCCAUCCUCUGCUGCCUCUGCCGCCUGCCAUCUGCACCGCAGGUGGAGGGAUGUCGCUCCAGGACCUUGCUUCAGAUACGUAAGCGCCCCCAUCCAUUAGAUCCUCAGGCCACGGACCAGUACUGGUCCAGGACCUGGUAGGAACUGGGGCACUGCACAGGAGGAGAAUCUUACCUGGGAAUCCCUCAAUAAGGCACUAUUUGACUUCCACUGGCCACUUCCAUUGAUUAGGAGGUCCAUCUGGGAUUUAAUAGGAGUCCUUUCUGCAAUAGCCCUCUAAGAUGGCCAUCCAGCCUCAAGCAAAAGACUUUGGCUCAAGUUUGGUUUCCAGAUAAAGGAGUUUAUUUUACUCCUGCUUGCCUUGAGGCCAGCUGCUUCACAAUGCUUAUUAAUGAGCAUAAUGACAGAGGAACAGAGAAAAAGAAUAGGCCAAACGUGAGAAAAAACAGAGUUCAUCAGAACCAGAAUUUCAUGGAUUCUUUAUUGUGGAGGAGAAGGCUGAGAAAAAUCCAAGUGAGGCCAUUUAAAGCUGAUUUUGAGGACCCAAGAUAUGUUGAAGGGAGAAGCCAGGAAAGGAUGCCACUGGAUACCAACCUGGGGCUGCCUGUUCGGAAUCAGAGGAGGCUUGAUGGUCCAAAUGAAGGGAGAGUAAGGCAAUUGUCUGGACUCUGCAUGUGUAUAUAAUCAGCAAAUAAAAGAUUUUCUCUCAA
ensembl:lncRNA